rnacentral:rRNA from 1 species
GGGUUAGUAGGUUGGUCAUGCCUCUGGUAUGUACUGGUCUCACUGAUUCCUCCUUCCUGAUGAACCCUAAUGCCAUUAAUUUGGUGUUUUGGGGAAUUUGGACUGUUACUUUGAAGAAAUUAGAGUGUUUAAAGCAAGCUAACGAUUGAAUACAUUAGCAUGGAAUAAUGAAAUAGGACGUUCGAUCCUAUUUUGUUGGUUUCCAGGAUUGACGUA